rnacentral:rRNA from 1 species
GAUAAACGCUGGCGGCGCACAUAAGACAUGCAAGUCGAACGGAAGUCGUUACGAAACGGAGUGAAGAUUUAUCUGAAUGAAGUUUUGUAACAAUGGCUUUAGUGGCGGACUGGUGAGUAACACGUAAGCAACCUGCCUAUUAGAGGGGAAUAACAAUGAGAAAUCAUUGCUAAUACCGCAUAAGCUUGUAGUAUCGCAUGGUACAGCAAGAAAAGGAGUAAUCCGCUAAUAGAUGGGCUUGCGGCUGAUUAGCUAGUUGGUAAGGUAAUGGCUUACCAAGGCAACGAUCAGUAGCCGGGCUGAGAGGCUCUGCGGCCACAUUGGGACUGAGAUACGGCCCAG